UUUUUUUUUUUGAAAUCUAAUUUAAGAUACAUAAAUGAUAAGAAUUUCAAAGCACACACGGUUUUAUUUACUAAAACCCAAAUUCUAGGUUAAUAUGCAAUCUAAGUUAAAGUUGUUAAGUUUCCGUUUAGGGAGUUGUAAGACUCAUUUAUACUGGAGUGCUCGGUGAAAUCUGGACCGUACACAAGCUAAGAGUUCGGAUCUCCAAAAUAUUGUUAAUACUAGUAGUUUUCCAAGGAUUGGUCGAAAGGACCUGCUCACUGAUUCAAAAUCAUCUUAUCUGUAGGAUUUCAAGAGUUGUGGAUGUUUACUUUAGUACCUCACGGGCUUUAUCUGUAAUAUUCUAGUUUACUCGAAUUUUUACAACGACGGCUUUCACACUAUUGUCUUUUUCAAGGUCAAUACAGAGUUUUUUUUUUAUCAUAAAAGAUAUAUAAAUUGUGCACUUUUACUCUUGUGGUGAUUUCUCCGUGUAACGAGCAGUUAGUCGACAACUCUCACACCAGUUGGCAUAAGGUGUCGGGCAUCAAGACUCCCCUACGGACU
rnacentral:lncRNA from 1 species